AGCACUACCCCUUUGUCCAAGUGCCUUAUAACAUGUCUUUAUAACUGGCUGUGUAAGAAUGAAGAAAAGCUGUCCAUCUUCUGAGAAGAAUGAGACCAGAGAGUCCACGUCUCCCUCCAAUGCCUGGGAUGUGAAGUACUCAGUAGAUAGCUGGGUCAGGAGCAAAUGAUCAGAAUUUACGCAGACGGCCAGAGUGGCAGGGAGCAUCAUGGCUUAUUGGCAAGAAGCGGCUCCUAAAUUAUAUCAAGGACUCUCGGAAAGGAGAACUCAAUUCACACGGCACACACUUCACUGUCUGUUGCAAGCCACACAGUGUGUUUAUGUCUGGAUCUGGCCUUUAUUAAAUUUCUUCAGCCUGUGGCACAUUCCCCUCA
rnacentral:lncRNA from 1 species